rnacentral:rRNA from 1 species
AGUGAACGCUGGCGGUAGGCCUAACACAUGCAAGUCGAACGGCAGCACAGUAAGCGCUUGCUCUUACGGGUGGCGAGUGGCGGACGGGUGAGGAAUACAUCGGAAUCUACUUUUUCGUGGGGGAUAACGUAGGGAAACUUACGCUAAUACCGCAUACGACCUACGGGUGAAAGCAGGGGAUCUUCGGACCUUGCGCGAUUGAAUGAGCCGAUGUCGGAUUAGCUAGUUGGCGGGGUAAAGGCCCACCAAGGCGACGAUCCGUAGCUGGUCUGAGAGGAUGAUCAGCCACACUGGAACUGAGACACGGUCCAGACUCCUACGGGAGGCAGCAGUGGGGAAUAUUGGGCAAUGGGCGCAAGCCUGAUCCAGCCAUACCGCGUGGGUGAAGAAGGCCUUCGGGUUGUAAAGCCCUUUUGUUAGGAAAGAAAAGCAGCAGGUUAAUACCCCGCUGUUCUGACGGUACCCAAAGAAUAAGCACCGGCUAACUUCGUG